GCCAAACAAGGUGAAACGCCGAGCCUGGUAGCGUGGGCUUGUGAUCCAAGUGGAGGCAUUAAGGUGAUGGAACGUUGAUCUUGUCCAGAUGGCUGAGUCUAGUGUGAUGAAUUUCUGGCCCGCCCAUUCCAAGCCGAGAGCUGAGCUAUGUGACCCCAGCGAAGGCUUGGGCUACAUGUCUCCUAAAGUGGGGGGCAAUGCGUGAGGCUGGUUUCACAGAGCAGCGACAACCUCCCGCUCCUGGCAGUGGAAGGACAACGGGCUGUUGUCACCUAGGCUCAUAUUGUCUGAUGGGCUGAUAAAACUGGACCAUCACUUUUUUAUUUUCCCAUUUAAAUCAUUUUUGUUUCUUCCUUUUGGCGUGCGCUGAUGAAGUAUCUAGGGGAGGAGGGACUCAUACGAGUUGGGUUUCUUUUGGCUGGCUGCUUUCUGGCGGGUCUGGGUUCAGCUUAGAUGGCCUUGAUCGUACGGUGGACCUCAUUCUUCAUUGGUGAGUGGGGGUGCCAUCAUUGUACAUUAAAUGCACGCCCCACUUGCCAUGACCUUUGCCCUCUUGGUGAAUUGAAAGAGUGGGGUUUUGGUUCCUGGGAUUUCACACCCUGUUCUCUCCUGACCAGCUGGUCUGAUUGAGUGCUGCCCCACCUCUCUUCUCCCUCUUCUAAUUCGGUUGGGAUGUUGUCAGGUGAGCUUUUUUCUAUUAUUGAUAGGGAAUUUUGUGUCUGAGAGGCUUCGCUUGCUUUGUUUUCUUUUUGUGUCCGCUUCUUGGAAUUUGGUUGGCAUGGCUUUGUAGGGAAGUAUAUAAGCUUCUUCUUUUUUUUUAAUCUAUUCUGUGUGGUGAAUUCUCACAUUUCCUUUUGUUUUCUUAAUUCUGAGUUUUUUUUUUUUUAUUCUCUGAUUUGAUUUUGUAUGGUAGACAGAUUUCACAACUGAUUGGAAUUCUUAUUUGGAGGUAAUGAUUAUAUUUAAGCUUUUAUGUUUUCUUUCUUCUCUGUUUCUUUAUCACAUUUAGUUUCAAUCAUGAUUUAGAAUUAGUUUCUUUAGAAAUUUCCUUCAAGAUGACAACUGGGUUUAGUUCUGUUGUUUCUUUCAGAUUUAAUUCAAUCUGGACAGAAAAACUUUUCCUCAGCGGGUUUGAUGCAAAUAUAAAUAAUUAUAAGCAUUAAAGCUGACUGGUUUAUUCUUCGCAUCUAAAUGUUUUUUUUGCAGGAUAUUGCCAAUUACAUGCAUGAUCACAAUGAUGCAGAGGCUACACCGUUCUAUGCAAAUUGCUUGCAUUUGUAUUUAUGGAAUGCGUGAUGCAUUCAUUCAAGGUUUGAACAACAUUAGUUUGUGUGUGACAAUUCACUUCUAAUCCUAUAUACUGGAGACUCGAAAAACAUUAUUUAAUGGGCAUAGCAUGUUAACCAUUUCCUUUCAUCCUUCCACAUUAUUAUGGUGGAAUUUAUAAUAGCAUAAAUAGUUGCAACUUCCAAUAGCCUCGCUAAACAUGUUGCCAUUGCUUUUGAUGGCUGCUGAGAGGUUGUCAGACAAUUUCUUAGGAAGAAGGUUCGGCUGCUGAAAGGUUGUUAUGAUCGAGGUUACUUCAUUGGGGUUGAGCCUUUUGGUUGCGAAUAUGAGGUGGCCUUCCAUUAAUGCAUUUGACAGGGCAUUUAGCAUUUUGUGUUUGUUUCUAUCAGUUUAGGCUAUUAUGAUGCCGCCAGUAUGAAGGCUUCAGGUUAUCUCACUUGCCUUUUGUUUUUGGUUUUACUCCUGUGCUUGCUGUCUUUUUACUUCUUUGUCCACUUAUUCCUCGUGCGAUCUGAAAAGGUGUCUGUUUGUUUUUCUGUUGUCUUUUUAAAUGGUCAAUUCUGGUCUACGUUGUCCAUCUUCGUAAGGGUUUCUUCCUACUCUUUUCCUUUAGCUCAGAUGUUUGUUCUUUUUUAAGAGAGGGAGGCUGUUGUGGUCCUCUGCUUUGUUUGGUAUCUGUCUUCUCUUCUUUUUUGCUGAUUCGAUUGGUUGUUUGAAGGAUUUAACUUUGUCUUGAGUUGCUUCUUUUUUUUUUCUUUUUUUUUCCAGCAGGGGUUGCUUUUGAAGGAGGUAAUUGGCUCUCUCUAUUGGUUCUUCGGUUGAAUAGAUUUUGGGAGAUUCUUACUGAUUAUCAUCCUUUCAGCUGAUUUCAGUAUGGCAUGUCAUGUGAUAAAUUCUUUUAGGUAAUUGAUGCAAACCAGAAACAACCUGGUUACCCCACUGGAGUGUGUUGAAGUAGCAUUAUAGCUAAGGAAAUUUGAUUGUAUCAUGUAAUUUGAACUGCCAUUGUAGUUUAAACUUAUUACCUCCACUUGGAACAAUCAAACUGUAAUAUAUUACCUUUCCACUGUUGUUUCUGGUUUGCAUCAGUUACUCAUAUUUCAUUGAACUAAGUGGGGUAAUUUGCAUCCCAGAUAUCUGUCAGUGCUAAUGGCAGUUCACAUUCUACAAUGGUAAAUUUCAUUGACUUGCAAUAUUGGUACAGGACUAUUCAUCAAAAAGGUCCAGGACUUGCUUGCUAGAGACUAGGUGGUUCAGGUUCAUCAUGCUUACAAGCUGCUGAUUGGCUAGCAAACUUGGGUUUUUUAAAAGGCCACUGGGAAAAGCUGCUACGGAUGCUCCCUCUUCUGGUUUAAUCCCUGUCUUAUUUUAUGAUAUUAUUGGGAGUAUAUCUUUAUUUAUUAAUUGCAUUUGCUUUAACUUUGUAUAUCAAACAUGCAGAGCAUGGAUUCAAAUUUAAUAGAUAGUAAAAGGCAGGGAGCGUGCUAUAUAUAUUGUAUAAAUCAAGAAUUAUGUGAUCUUCAUAUAUAUACACUUAACCGUGUCAGCCCAAUUAAGCUUGUAAUGCAGCUUCAAAUGAGGGAACUAGAAAGAAUGUUUGAUGAAGUACAUUGUCUGUCUUAUACCAUUUUCAUUAUAAUGCUCCAGUUGUAAGUACGAGAGAGAGAUGAAGCCUCUUCAUUCCAUGAUAUCCAAUCUACAUGACCUGAUUUUCAAUUCUUUUCUAUUGUUUCCUAUCCAGAUUAUGAAGUUGAUAAACUAGAAAAUGCAGGCAUCAUCAAAGGAUUUGACUAUUAUUUAUUUCUGGACUUCAUAUUGGUGAAUUCUAUGUGGUAAAGUCGCAUCCUAAAGUGUAACGAAUACUAAAAUAAAACUACAGGCCAUCCAGUUCAUUCAGCAGUAUUUAAAGUGGAGGAACUUUGCACUUGGAAUUAAGACAUGGUACUUUUUCCUUAGUUGCAUCUGAAAAAUCUAAUGCAUUCAACGAAAUGAAGAAUGGAUGCACAGAGGCUCGGGAACUUGCACUCAGUUAAGCUUUAUAGGCUUCAUUUUCGUGUGGUGUAAGCUGUUUUCAUCUGUUUGAUAAAAGAUUCGUUUGCAAUCUCUCCAUGUAUUCCCAUGGCAGCUCCAAGGCAAGACCAACAUGGAAGCACUUGUGAUAAUAAUGGAAUGUUGCACUUACCUUGGUUUCUGAAAUCCUAUUGAGAAAUUGCCAACCUUUGCCUUGGUUUCUGAAAACCUAUUGAGAAAUUGCUAACCUUUUUAACUUACCUUAUUCAGGGUGUCAAUUUAUCCUAUAUGUAUUAUACCAUAUAUAUCCACUCAAAGAGAACAAUGAUCUGCAGUCUGAUAGAUGAAGUAUCGGUAGGAAAAUAAGAAUAAUAAAGAAAAGAUAUUGUGUUUAUUGAGAAAGUUUCAUCCAUGGAGCAGGGGAGUCGGGAGCUCGAAGGGAGAGAAUCCCACAUCAGCAAAGCACCUCCUUUAUGUCGAUUCGCAGUUCCUUGCCCAAUCUCUACGGGGAAAAGGUACUGGCUCCCUCACUUUAUAUUGGACACAGCAAACGAGAUGAGUAUGGGCCCAGUAAAGUGGGCUUGUGAUCCAAGUAGAAGCACCGAGGUGACGCCGUAACGGGACCUUGUUUCUGUCCAGAAGACUGGGUCCGUGGUGGCUAUUCUCUGGCCUGCCCAUUCCAAGCUGAAAGUGCGUGAGGCUGGUUUAGUGUU